AUUGAACGCUGGCGGCAUGCUUUACACAUGCAAGUCGAACGGUAACGGGCCUUCGGGUGCUGACGAGUGGCGAACGGGUGAGUAAUACAUCGGAACGUGCCCGGUCGUGGGGGAUAACGCAGCGAAAGCUGUGCUAAUACCGCAUGCGAUCUGAGGAUGAAAGCGGGGGACCACACAGCAUUGCUUGGCCGGGCGGGCCGAUGGCAGAUUAGGUAGUUGGUGGGAUAAAGGCUUACCAAGCCGACGAUCUGUAGCUGGUCUGAGAGGAUGACCAGCCACACUGGGACUGAGACACGGCCCAGACUCCUACGGGAGGCAGCAGUGGGGAAUUUUGGACAAUGGGCGCAAGCCUGAUCCAGCCAUGCCGCGUGCAGGAUGAAGGCCUUCGGGUUGUAAACUGCUUUUGUACGGAACGAAAAGCCUCCUGCUAAUACCUGGGGCUCAUGACGGUACCGUAAGAAUAAGCACCGGCUAACUACGUG
rnacentral:rRNA from 1 species